CCAUGCCCCAGCCUGUGAAACUAGCACUCAGUGCCCAGCUCAUCACUGGACUGACCCACAGAUCCAACUGUUUUGGAGUGGAAAUUUUCUUUGAAAAUGAAAUCAUGAUCCAUUACAAGAUGAACCUAUUUAAUGAUGUGAGAAGAUUCAGCUUUCCACAUCAACUUCAGGAUGCAUCUGUGAAUUCUGAUGGAUGCUACUCUGUUUUCUGGGGGAACCCAGAGCUUCAGUUAUGGGAAACAUUAUUGGGAGCUGUUUGUAUGUGACUCUUGGGACUGGACUAUAGGGGUUUGUAAAGAUUCCCGGUGAAGCAAGUAUGGCCCACUGACUGAACUGAAGGAUGUGUUCCUUCUUGUAUUUGUGAAGAAGGGUGAUCAUUACAGCCUCCUGACUACCUCCCCAUCACUUCCUCAUUAUGUAGAGAUACCACUGGGCCAGAUUGGUAUGCUCCUGGAUUGUGACCUUGGAAAUGUAAGUUUCUUGAAUGUGGCCAAGAAUUCCCUCAUAUGGUGGUACCCUGCUGGUGCCUUAAAUUUUCCUGUCAGGCCUUCCUUCUCCAUUGGCCAUGCAUGAUGCGGACAGGCUGUACCCUAAGUCAUCCAUAACUCAGGGAGCCUGUCUUAAUUGAAGUCAAGCAAUAACGUAGCACUUUAAUGUCUUUUAAGUAUUUCCUACUUACUUUAUUGUUAUCUUAUUGUAAUUAAAUAUUUAA